AUUUUUGUCCGCUGGAAAAAGUCCGCUCGGCCGGGAAUCCAAUCCGGUCGUGUGUACGGGGCCUUAAACACUCCAUGUUGGGGUUCCUUCAAAUAAAGAAGAAAUAUACAGUACAAGCAUAUUGAAAUCGCAUCAGACCUGUGAUCCCAGGGCCAAGUAGUGGCUGGUGCUUCCAUAUCAGUCCUACUUUUGCUGCACUGACUUUACUUUGGAUCAAUUUAUGUUCCAUCUUGCUUCAAAGACCUCAUUAAGUAUAUGAAGGUUAUAUACAAAAAAAAAUACAUAUUUUAAAAUCUCUAUGUAUAAUUCAGACUUUUCAAAAAGACACACUGAGAAAAUUGUUAUUUUGUUAUAUAGUCUAGAAUGUAAAAAUAAAAAUUUAAUAGGAAACCUUAAUUUUGUCAUUUGUUUUUCUAAUCAGUUUGUGAUGUUAUAGCAAUAAAUGACACUAACAUAAAUUUUAAUUAAAAAAAAGAAAUGGAA